GACCUAGUAGCUCAACGGCAGAGCAACCGCCUUGUAAGCGGUAGGUUUCGUGUUCGAAUCACGGCAUCGGCACCA
rnacentral:tRNA from 1 species